AAUACUGUGUUAUAUUAUUGCACAUUACAAAAACAGCAACUUCUGUAUAAACUGUUACGACGAGCAGCAGCCGGACAACCGCGCGUGUCGUUGUUGGCAAGUUGCGACGAUAAGUUCGUUUUCGUAUUUUCGUAUUUAGUUUAAUCGUUGUUGUUCGCAGUUAUCAUAUUUUUAUCUAUACCUACUCGUAUACGUUGAGUAAGAAAAUUGUGGUAUUGGAAAUGUGGCUGUACCAUCGUAUCCUAAAUAUCUGUUGGACAGACGUAUGCGUACUACAAUGCGAAUGCAAAAGGAAAAAAAAUUACUAAAGACUAUAACAACACGGAAAUUAGAAUACCUGAGUCACAUAAUGAAAAAUAACGAUAGAUAUGGAUUGCUGCGACUUAUACUUCAAGGAAAAAUUGAAGGCAAGAGAAGUCCUGGUAGACGAAAGAUAUCGUGGCUAAAAAAUCUCUGGGACUGGUUUAGUACAACAUCAAUUGAACUAUUUCGUUCAUCGUUAGAAAGAGAAGCAAUAUUCAAUAUGAUUUCCAACAUCCGAAACGGAUAGAAACUUCAAGAAGAAGAAGAAGAAGACUCGUAUACAGUCAUUUUGCAUCAUAAUUAUACGUACACUAUUAAGUAAUAUUAGUACUUAGUACUAGACGAGUAGACGACGACGGCGAUGAUGUCGAAUCGUAACGACGGUGACGGUGACUUAGUUUGCGGGGUGAGUUUAUAAAGGAGUUAGAAACGCGGAAAUUCGACUUUCCAGGGUUUGGCUGCGCGUGUGACUCCAACGGACGCAGCCAACGAGUUGCCUGCAGAAGGAUUCGCGGACUGCGGAGAGUAUCAGGACUGCGGCGCGCGUUGUGGCGCAGUCCGCUGAUUCUCUUUUUUCACCUACUCUCACCGCGGUUACGGUCGCCGCCUCGCCGGUUCAGUAACUACGACUUAUAUAAGCUCUUCCCGUGUUCUGGUCGCCGUCGCUUGUCGCCAGAUUCGUCAUCUUCAAUUUUGUCGCGCACUAGCUCCAAAAUCGCCGUCAACCGUCGCUCCCGCACGGUCGAGCCAACCGAGCCGAGCCUUUAGUAAUGGUCGACGCAUCGUGCUCACUAGUAAACGAGCGGGUGACACUAUCGUCGUUCGCUUGCAGGACCCAGUCGCGAGAAUGUUGUAGAAGUGACCAGUGGCCAUUAACUAUAGCAAUAUCUCGCACCGAAAACGUCAUCUCGUAUCCUCCUCCCCAUUCCUCGUUUAUUGUGUCGUCCUGACCUUUGUUUUUUUUUAUUGGUUUUUUGUUAUUUUUUCUUAAAGCUAUA